CCUACGGGGGGCAGCAGUGGGGAAUAUUGCACAAUGGGGGAAACCCUGAUGCAGCGACGCCGCGUGAGUGAAGAAGUAUUUCGGUACGUAAAGCUCUAUCAGCAGGGAAGAAAAUGACGGUACCUGACUAAGAAGCCCCGGCUAACUACGUGCCAGCAGCCGCGGUAAUACGUAGGGGGCAAGCGUUAUCCGGAUUUACUGGGUGUAAAGGGAGCGUAGACGGCAGCGCAAGUCUGAAGUGAAAUCCCAUGGCUUAACCAUGGAACUGCUUUGGAAACUGUGCAGCUGGAGUGCAGGAGAGGUAAGCGGAAUUCCUAGUGUAGCGGUGAAAUGCGUAGAUAUCACGCAGAACUCCGAUCGCGAAGGCAGCCUACCGGCGCGCAACUGACGCUCAUGCACGAAAGCGUGGGUAUCGAACAGGAUUAGAUACCCCUGUAGUC
rnacentral:rRNA from 1 species